UACGGGGGGGGUAAGCGUUGUUCGGAAUUACUGGGCGUAAAGGGCUCGUAGGCGGCCAACUAAGUCAGACGUGAAAUCCCUCGGCUUAACCGGGGAACUGCGUCUGAUACUGGAUGGCUUGAGUUUGGGAGAGGGAUGCGGAAUUCCAGGUGUAGCGGUGAAAUGCGUAGAUAUCUGGAGGAACACCGGUGGCGAAGGCGGCAUCCUGGACCAACACUGACGCUGAGGAGCGAAAGCCAGGGGAGCAAAGCGGGG
rnacentral:rRNA from 1 species